CAGGUGGGCAGCAUCAGCAAUCAGCGGGAGCCCUGGGAAACAGGAACAGACUGAGGCAAGUGGAGCUCAGGCAGCAACAGGAAAGGAAGGAUGCAAAGCAGUUGAAUAUUAUGGAUGAUGGGGUGGGGAGAGCAGAGGAGAUAUGGCCAGCAAGGCAAGCGUAGGCACUGGAGAAGGGUUGCAAAGGUGCAGCAGCAGCAAGACACGGUGGUGUAACUCUUACAACUCCAGGGAAGCUAAAACAAGGACCCUUUCUGUCUGGACCCUCAGCAUUUCCAUCCUGUUCCCUGCCUGAGGGUCAACGCGAGCGUGCCGAGCCCCGCGGUCUCUGGAAAGGCUGAAGAGUAGCCAGCGAGGGCCGGCGAGCAAAGGGGGGCCAACCUGGACACACCGACUCCAGCAUGGGGCCUUUUGCCCUGGCAGUCAGGAUUGGGAGCCCAGCUUUCGGUAAGACGUCUUCUUGCUUCUCCUCCUUGCAAAGGUGCCCCCAGCCUUUUGGGGGGGGCAGAUCUGCAGGCAGCAGAGGCUCAGCUGUGUGCUGGGGGGUGGGCGGGUGGAUGUCUUGCCGCUUCCCAGCGGAGGGAGGCCGGAGCCGAUGCAGGUCGCGGGGGUGCG